AUUGAACGCUGGCGGCAUGCUUUACACAUGCAAGUCGAACGGCAGCGCGGGCUUCGGCCUGGCGGCGAGUGGCGAACGGGUGAGUAAUACAUCGGAACGUGCCCAGUAGUGGGGGAUAGCUCGGCGAAAGCCGGAUUAAUACCGCAUACGACCUGAGGGUGAAAGCGGGGGAUCUUCGGACCUCGCGCUAUUGGAGCGGCCGAUGGCAGAUUAGCUGGUUGGUGGGGUAAAGGCCUACCAAGGCGACGAUCUGUAGCUGGUCUGAGAGGACGACCAGCCACACUGGGACUGAGACACGGCCCAGACUCCUACGGGAGGCAGCAGUGGGGAAUUUUGGACAAUGGGCGAAAGCCUGAUCCAGCAAUGCCGCGUGUGUGAUGAAGGCCUUCGGGUUGUAAAGCACUUUUGGCGGGAACGAAAAGGACUGUGCCAAUACCACGGUUCGAUGACGGUACCCGCAGAAUAAGCACCGGCUAACUACGUG
rnacentral:rRNA from 1 species